rnacentral:tRNA from 1 species
GCCGAAGUGGCGGAACUGGUAGACGCACAGGACUCAAAAUCCUGCGGGAGCAAUUCCAUGAGGGUUCGAUUCCCUCCUUCGGCA